ACCUCGUUACUGCGUAUAAUUCUUCUUCGAAACACUUCGGUUUAGCGCCAGACUCGAUUUACUCACACGAGAGUUCCAAGUUAACCAAUAAGCGUUUACGUAAUGAAAGUAAAGUGAAUUGGAACUGGCUAAAGAUGCGUUAAAUCGAAGUCCUAUUGUACUUUUAUUAUUAUUAUUAAUUCUUUUUAGUUUACUAGCGAUGGAGGAGAGACUACCGCCAUAUUUCUGCAUUUAUUUUCGAUAAAUACAGGAAACACUACCCGCAUCACAAUGUUUUUUUUUAUAUCUUGUUGGCUUUGUGUACAUGCCGCUAUAUCGCAACUUAGAUGAAUAGUUUCUUGAAUCCUCCGGAGAAUUGCCCGUGUGAAGAGAGAGAUCAGAAACACACAAGGAGAUAACUUGGUGAACCGAAGUUAUGGCCGAUUUCGUGUGCCAAAGUGACGUGAGACACAAUAGGUGGUACGUAUUUUCCAUAAUUUAAUAGAGUAACAAUUCCAGUGUUAAGACUCUUCAAGCUCCC